AAAAAAUGAAGGCAUAUUUAUUACUGACCAGGAGAAAUUCCACAGUAUAUAGAAUGGGAAUCAUACUAUAUACAUUUGUAGCUUAUUUUCAAUUUUUAAAAACAAGUCCAAGAAAGUUAAAAUAUUCUUUUUAAUUAGAUGCUCAAAGAAAUGAAGUAAGAAAAACUGAUGCAAAGACUCCUUCAAGUUAGGAUUUGCAAUACAAAUAUUUUCAUAUCCUAACAGGGCAAGCUGAUGUGUUCACAUCUCCCUUCCAAGCUGCUUCUCUCACUAGGAAACAUCAGUAUUUUUAAAGCACAUUUACAAUGCUUUCCCAUCACCCUUUCUGUGUUUUUGUAGCACCUAUAGCCAUAACUGGCACCUGGGGGCCUUGCAUUGUUGGCAGUUUCCCUCUCAUUUCUUUGGAGUCUAUUCAACUGCUGUGGUUUUACUCAGAAGUCAGUGCUUUGCAUUUAUGAUUUCCUGAGACUGUUUGAAUGGUCUUUCUCAGAAAACUGUGCCAG
rnacentral:lncRNA from 1 species